GCAGCGGGCCGCGGGCUGGCUAGGCUGUGCAUGGGAGCCUGCAGAUUGUCAGAGAUGCUCAACCCACUUCAGGUUUCUUGUGGUUUCCGUUGCCCCGAGGGUGGGAACUCUCUGUUUCUAAUUUUGAGAGUACGUUUCUUCCCUAGACCAUGGGCUUUGAAUCAGAGAUAGCAAAUCCAUGUUCAAAUGGUGAUUCCAACAGUACUUAGCCUUCUGACCUCUUUAGCCAUCAGUUCCCUCGGGUGUAAAACGGGAAUAUUCAUGUGAUCUAUUUCAAAACAUUAGUGUAAUUCAAUAAGCAUGACUUCGGGCACGCUGUUCACGUGCUGACUACUCUUGGGCUUGGCUGUGUUGUGAACUUUCAUGAAAAAAGAGGCUUAGCCGUGUGUGCAAUCCCAGAGCUCUGGAGGCAGGAGGACAGCAAGUUGGAGGAGAGCCUGGAGUAUAUGGUGCCUUUCUCUGCAGCUCAUCCACCCUGUCCUAUAAAUGGAUCUCUCACACCAUUCCUGCUCCUCCAUCGAGUCACCCCAUUGAAGGGUACCAAACUUCGUAAUGGGUCCUGUUUAACUUCUCAGAAGACAUUGUCAGAAUUCGAUGGAACCCGAAGCCUCACUAAUCAUAGCAUCAGUCAAGAUGCUCAUCAGCUGGACUUUUUCUCCAGCAAGGAAGCAUAUGAUGAAACUUUUCUCUGUUGAUGAAGCCAUCUUUGUUCCGAUCGGUCAUGUUAAAAGCACUUGAACUCCCCAGUCUGUGACUAGUCACGCCUGGCAGACACCUUGGAUGCUGGGCCCUCGGGGCUUUUCUUUGCCCUCAGGCUCUUCUUGGUAGUCAUUAAGUCCCACCAAACCCUCACAGCUACAGCAUAGCUUCCAUUCGGCAAGCCUUUAACUCUUAAGAUCCCUCCUAGUCCUCCUACCCCUGCCCUCUGAGCCAAUCUCCCUGACCCUUUAGUCCCACCCAAAAAGUCCUCAGUAACUCCAC
ensembl:lincRNA Gm37933 predicted gene, 37933